AGCUGAGUUUGAUCCUGGCUCAGAUUGAACGCUGGCGGCAGGCCUAACACAUGCAAGUCGAGCGGGAACUUCGGUUCUAGCGGCGGACGGGUGAGUAAUGCGUAGGAAGCUACCCGAUAGAGGGGGAUACCAGUUGGAAACGACUGUUAAUACCGCAUAAUGUCUACGGACCAAAGUGUGGGACCUUCGGGCCACAUGCUAUCGGAUGCGCCUACGUGGGAUUAGCUAGUUGGUGAGGUAAUGGCUCACCAAGGCGACGAUCUGUAGCUGGUCUGAGAGGACGACCAGCCACACUGGAACUGAGACACGGUCCAGACUCCGUACGGGAGCAGCAGUGGGGAAUAUUGCGCAAGUGGGGG
rnacentral:rRNA from 1 species